rnacentral:rRNA from 1 species
GACGAACGCUGGCGGCGUGCUUAACACAUGCCAGUCGAACGGAAAGGCCCUGCUUUUGUGGGUUGCUCGAGUGGCGAACGGGUGAGUAACACGUGAGUAACCUGCCCUUGACUUUGGGAUAACUUCAGGAAACUAGGGCUAAUACCGGAUAGGAGCUCCUGCUGCAUGGUGGGGGUUGGAAAGUUUCGGCGGUUGGGGAUGGACUCGCGGCUUAUCAGCUUGUUGGUGGGGUAGUGGCUUACCAAGGCUUUGACGGGUAGCCGGCCUGAGAGGGUGACCGGCCACAUUGGGACUGAGAUACGGCCCAGACUCCUACGGGAGGCAGCAGUGGGGAAUAUUGCACAAUGGGCGGAAGCCUGAUGCAGCAACGCCGCGUGCGGGAUGACGGCCUUCGGGUUGUAAACCGCUUUCGCCUGUGACGAAGCGUGAGUGACGGUAAUGGGUAAAGAAGCACCGGCUAACUACGUG